CUGAGUGCAUGAUGAUGUAAAGUUAUCCCUGUCUGAAGGGCAAGAGGCCUUUCUGUGUGGAGCGUGGAUAUCUGAAACUCGG
rnacentral:snoRNA from 2 species